CCUACGGGAGGCAGCAGUGAGGAAUAUUGGUCAAUGGACGCAAGUCUGAACCAGCCAUGCCGCGUGCAGGAAGACGGUUCUAUGAGUUGUAAACUGCUUUUGUACGAGGGUAAAGGCAGAUACGUGUAUCUGUCUGAAUGUACCGUACGAAUAAGGAUCGGCUAACUCCGUGCCAGCAGCCGCGGUAAUACGGAGGAUUCAAGCGUUAUCCGGAUUUAUUGGGUUUAAAGGGUGCGUAGGCGGUCGGAUAAGUUAGAGGUGAAAUCCCGAGGCUCAACUUCGGAAUUGCCUCUGAUACUGGACGGCUAGAGAGUAGUUGCGGUAGGCGGAAUGUAUGGUGUAGCGGUGAAAUGCUUAGAGAUCAUACAGAACACCGAUUGCGAAGGCAACUUACCGGGCUACUACUGACGCUGAGGCACGAAAGCGUGGGUAGCAAACAGGAUUAGAUACCCGAGUAGUC
rnacentral:rRNA from 1 species